rnacentral:tRNA from 1 species
GGGCGGAUGGUUUAGUGGUAUAAUUUUCCCUUAGCAUCGUGCAACCUCCUAGGUUGUCACAGUCCGCAUGGGAAAGGUCCGGGGUUCGAUUCCCCGUUCGUCCA